CCUACGGGUGGCAGCAGUAGGGAAUUUUGCGCAAUGGGCGAAAGCCUGACGCAGCAACGCCGCGUGAUCGAGACGCUCUUUGGGGUGUAAAGAUCCGUCCGUCGGGACGAAACUUGACGGUACCCACAUAGGAAGCCCCGGCUAACUCCGUGCCAGCAGCCGCGGUAAUACGGGGGGUGCAAGCGUUGUCCGGAAUCAUUGGGCGUAAAGAGUUCGUAGGCGGCAGGUAAAGUCUGGUGUUAAAGGCAGGGGCUCAACCUCGGUACGGCACUGGAUACUUGCGAGCUAGAAUGCGGUAGAGGUAAAGGGAAUUCCUGGUGUAGCGGUGAAAUGCGUAGAUAUCAGGAGGAACAUCAGUGGCGUAGGCGGUUUACUGGGCCGUAAUUGACGCUGAGGAACGAAAGCCAGGGGAGCAAAUGGGAUUAGAUACCCGAGUAGUC
rnacentral:rRNA from 1 species